rnacentral:lncRNA from 1 species
CUCAGGCUCCUCCCUGCUGCAAACGUCAUGACCUUCCCUAGGUUCGACCUCAGUGGGCAAGCUGGUUGGAGUUUCUCCACGGACCCUCUCCCACAGGCUGUCUCAGAAGUUUUGGAGGCUAGAAGUAAAGAAGUCAAGGUGUUGUAAGGGGAGUGCUGUCACUAAAACAGGUUAUUUGAUAAUUAUCAAGCACUGUUCCAAGAAUGAGGAUUUCAGUAUUAGGAAUUCAGGAGCAGUUUGGUUUGACAGUUCUGAUUCUAGGAUUUUCAUGAGGUUGGCGUCAGAUCUCAGCUGGAGCUGCAGGCAUCUGAUGGUUUGAAGUUGGAGGAUCCAUCCCCAAGGUACCUCACCAAAAGAUUGUCAAGAAAACAAAACAAAACUUCUGGAAUGCCUCUUCAUCUGUACUGUAUCCUUGACAGAAUUCCUAUUGAGUGGUUUUCAUAUUUAACAACAGAUCCAAUUUUGUCAAAUAAAUUCUUACAUGGAACUCCAAUCCGUUGAAUUAGAAGAAAAGUUAGUAUAAGUUAUUUCAAGUUUAAUAGUUUUAGUUGUUAAUUUAUUUCUUAAUUUUGUCUUUCAGGGCACAGUGUUGAGAAAUCAUUUACACAGACAAAAAAUUGCAACUGAUUUUUAACUAUUUCUGCGUGCUAUCUUCCUACAUUUUCCAAUUAAAUUCUGAUAGUUCGACAAGAACUGAUUUCUAUUUUUCAAAAUUAUAUCACUAACUUACCAAUAUUCAACUAGUGCUUGCUUUCAAUGAUUGGUUAAUAUUGGCUCUGAAAACGUUCCUUUGCCAACAUAAAUGUUCAUUAAGAAUUUUUCAAAAAUGUCAAAAAAAUACCACCUCAGUUUCAACUAUGAAGUAACAAUUUAAUAUUUCAAAACAGUCAUAUUUAUUUUUCCUUGCUGUUAAAAUCAAACUUUAGCUUCAAUUUUAAGGCGGGCAUUCUAUAUACAUUUAAAAGUAGGUAAUUUUGUGAGUGUGAAUUGGACUUACUUAGAUUACUAAAAUUAGCAGCAAAAUAUAUAACCUGUUUCCACAACAUCUGGAGUUUAAGUAUUAACACUGUAAAAUAUUAUCUGAAUUUCUCAUAUUUUAAACUAUCAUAUGGACAAUAGAACAGAUUCCACUAUAAAAAUAAUUUUUAAAUCACUUCAAGUAGGAUUACAUGUAACUCUGAAUGAAAUGCAGUUAAAACAUAAAACAUAAUAAAAAUAUAACUAGUGUAGUGUUUGCUGACAGUAUUUGCCUAGCAAAUUUCCUUAAUCAGGGAUCUUUUUAAUGAAACACAAUGAUGGUUCAUACAUAAUAAAAGUCUCAUACGUGCUUUUUUGCUUAGAUAGUUUUCAAAUUUUUAAUACAGCUUUCAUUACACUUUUGAUACCUUACUUGAUAAAAUAUUUUUAAACGCAAAUGCUUAAACACUGUAAAUAUUUUUUCUUAAUUUUUAUGAUUACCUGGAAAAUAAUGAGAACAGUAACAUCUGAAGCCUCUUCCACCUGAAUGAUGAAGAUGUCAAAUAUUCUCAGCCUCAAAUUAAUGUGUCAAGUACAUUGGAUUUGUAUCUUUGUGUUCUUUCCUAUCUUCUUAAAAAAUUGUGCUAAUUACAUUUUCAAAAAUUGUUGUUUUUCUAACAUAUUGGUUACAAUAUCAAUAUAUGUGGCUUAAUAAAAUAGUCUCUGAGAACAUGUGCUUUUCUGAAUGUGUCAGGUGGCAGCUUGCUUUUAACAAUAUUGUAAGUUUUUAUAAUCAGAUUUAAAUUGUGUUUAUCUAAAAUAUUUAUGAACAUUGAAUUUAUGGUGAACAAAGCAGAGUCUUCUUUCAAAUCGCAUGUAGUUAUGUUUCAAAUAUGUGAAAUUUUUGAAUACUUCAUUAAAAUUUUAUUUUAAUAGAACACAUUAAAU